rnacentral:tRNA from 1 species
GGAGGGGUGGCCGAGUGGUUGAAGGCGGCGGUCUUGAAAACCGUUAGGUGAAAGCCUCGUGGGUUCGAAUCCUACCCCCUCCGCCA